UAUUAUUUGACAUGUAAAUGUAAUAUAUUUGAGUAGUAAUAGGUAUGUACUUGAAACUCAAAGAAUUUGGCGGUAUUUUAGUCCUUUCAGAGGAAUCUGUCCCGUUAUUGACAGUACACGAUUUUCAUUACUUAAUCUUGUUAUCAGUUUAUAUACCGCCGUCGUAAGAUUAUCUUAUGGAGAGAAUUAAAUUUCAUUAUUUUUUAUUGAAAUAUAUGUCAGGUCAAGGUGUAGCUUAUGAUUAAGAGGAGAUGGAUUACAAUAAAUUUAUUUAUUGUGGAUAGUAUUAAUUAAUUUGUUCUUGAAGAUGGAUUUGAUUGUAAAUAGAUUAAAAUUGAUUAUUUGAUUUUGGCUCUAGAAUGUGCACACAUCGCCCGUCGCUCUCGUUUUAAGAUGAG
rnacentral:rRNA from 1 species